rnacentral:misc_RNA from 1 species
GGGCAAAAAAAAGGCUCAGAGAAGUGUCUUGUUUUGUUGCGAUUGGGUGCAAUUUUUGUGGAUAAAUAAUAUUGAAGAGAAGUGAAGUUGAAUAGCAAUUGUAGCUGUAGGCCCAAAGUAGGAAAAAUAUAUUCGUAGGAAUGAGCAAUUGAAGUUAAAUUGCUGUUCUCACCGGCUAGUUUGUCCAGAGUGCACAACUAAUGGGGGGCAAUGGCGAUAAUAUAUAUAUGUUUUUAAAGCAAAUGAGAUAUGAUUGGCCACAUCAGUGUAUGGGGAAUUGUUUUCCAACUUCCUUCCAUUGAGUAGACAUUUAAUUCAUUGAUUGGAUAUAUCCAAUGUCAUGCAGUGCACUUUUUAUUCAUUUUCCUUCCAGCAUUUGUACAGGUGAGUUACUAUUCAAUGCAAUUAAUGAGCUGAAGUAUGCUAAUAUUUUGUUGUGAAAUGGUCAAAACAUAGUGCGGGUGUAACAAGUAUAAAUUAUUAUUCU